AACGAACGCUGGCGGCAGGCUUAACACAUGCAAGUCGAGCGCCCCGCAAGGGGAGCGGCAGACGGGUGAGUAACGCGUGGGAACGUACCCUUUGCUACGGAAUAGCUCCGGGAAACUGGAAUUAAUACCGUAUGUGCCCUACGGGGGAAAGAUUUAUCGGCAAAGGAUCAGCCCGCGUUGGAUUAGCUAGUUGGUGGGGUAAUGGCCUACCAAGGCGACGAUCCAUAGCUGGUCUGAGAGGAUGAUCAGCCACAUUGGGACUGAGAUACGGCCCAAACUCCGACGGGAGGCAGCAGUGGGGAAUAUUGGACAAUGGGCGCAAGCCUGAUCCAGCCAUGCCGCGUGAGUGAUGAAGGCCAUAGGGUUGUAAAGCUCUUUCACCGGAGAAGAUAAUGACGGUAUCCGGAGAAGAAGCCCCGGCUAACUUCGUGCCAGCAGCCGCGGUAAAAC
rnacentral:rRNA from 1 species